UGUUGAUAGAACAAUGUAGAUAAGGGAAGUCGGCAAAUUAGAUCCGUAACUUCGGGAUAAGGAUUGGCUCUAAGGGUUAGGUAGGAAACGUAUUAGAUGGAUGAAGAGGUGAGUCUGGAGAAGGCUGGUUGGGGCAACCUGACUGGCUUUUUUUGGGCAAUCCUCUUGUACCGUCUAAUGGCGGCCUACAAUUAAUAACCAACUUAGAACUGGUACGGACAAGGGGAAUCUUACUGUCA
rnacentral:rRNA from 1 species